AGUGAAUAGAUACCCCGGUAGUCCACGCCGUAAACGAUGGGCACUAGGUGCUGGGGGGAGCGACCCCGUCAGUGCCGUAGCUAAACGCGAUAAGUGCCCCGCCUGGGGAGUACGGCCGCAAGGCUGAAACUCAAAGGAAUUGACGGGGGCCCGCACAAGCGGUGGAGCAUGUGGUUUAAAUUCGAAGCAACGCGAAGAACCUUACCUAGGUUUGACAUGCUGGUGAAAGCCUCUGGAAACAGGGGCCCUUCUUCGGAACACCAGCACAGGUGCUGCAUGGCUGUCGUCAGCUCGUGUCGUGAGAUGUUGGGUUAAGUCCCGCAACGAGCGCAACCCUUGCCCCGUGUUACUAACAGGUAAAGCUGAGGACUCUCGGGGGACUGCCGGCGUCAAGCCGGAGGAAGGUGGGGACGACGUCAAGUCAUCAUGGCCCUUACGCCUAGGGCGACACACGUGCUACAAUGGCCACGACAGAGGGCAGCAAAGCGGCAACGUGGAGCGAAUCCCAGAAACGUGGUCUAAGUUCGGA
rnacentral:rRNA from 1 species